ACUCUCUGCUCAAGUCCUACCUCCCUUUCCUUACUCUUUUUCGAAUGGCAAAGCUAGCAGUUAACUAUCAUGAUUUACUGGGAUUACUGUAAAACUUUGAGAAGGAUCACCAGCUCCAAAAGGAGUCGGUAAAUGUUGUGGGAGGAUCUUCUUCUGGACGUCGAUCCUUUAAGAAAAAAAAGAAGAACAAGAAGAACAAGAAAAGGGUGCAAAGUGCUGAGGCACCCAAGCCCAGUC
rnacentral:lncRNA from 1 species